UGAUGCCCUUAAAAUCUAGGGGUAAAAAGCCGAGUUUGGUUGAAAAGGGCCUUGGCCCUCCAAGCGACAUUUUCAAUCUUUGACGGCAAGUUUCAACCGAACAAGCCGAAGUCUUUGCUUAAAUGCGGAGAUUCAGAGACUAAACGAAGAUGGGGACGCCAAAAUAUAGGCGUCUUUUCUGAUAUAGUCCGACUUAUAGCUGGAAGGCUAUAACGUUUGUGUAGAUGCUCUGGGCCGCACGCGCGCUACACUGACAGAGACAACGAG
rnacentral:ncRNA from 14 species